rnacentral:misc_RNA from 1 species
UGUGAACAAGUGUGGCAAGCUUUCUGAAAUUGCAUUGCAAAAGAUAUCAAAAUCGUAUCUCAUAAUAAGGGUAAGAAAAUUGAUAAGUGUGUGCUUUUGCGCACACACAGAUCAGAAAGCAUCAAAGUUAACAUAGUUCAAAGAAACAAGACCAGUAUCCAUGAACAACUAAAAGAAAAAAAAUGUUAUUGAGCAUAGCUUGACA